UACCAGCACCCCGAGUGGUCGGGACGAUUAUUGGGCCUAAAGCAUCCGUAGCCGGUUUUACAAGUCCCCCGUUAAAUCCAGCUGCUUAACAGAUGGGCUGCGGAGGAUACUAUAAGACUAGGAGGCAGGAGAGGCAAGCGGUACUCAGUGGGUAGGGGUAAAAUCCGUUGAUCCAUUGAAGACCACCAGUGGCGAAGGCGGCUUGCCAGAACGCGCUCGACGGUGAGGGAUGAAAGCUGGGGGAGCAAACCGG
rnacentral:rRNA from 1 species